rnacentral:rRNA from 1 species
AGGGCACCACCAGGAGUGGAGCCUGCGGCUUAAUUUGACUCAACACGGGAAAACUCACCCGGCCCGGACACUGGAAGGAUUGACAGAUUGAGAGCUCUUUCUUGAUUCAGUGGGUGGUGGUGCAUGGCCGUUCUUAGUUGGUGGAGUGAUUUGUCUGGUUAAUUCCGAUAACGAACGAGACUCUAGCCUACUAAAUAGAUCGUCGGCUUACAAACGCCGGCGAGACUUCUUAGAGGGACAGGCGGUGAUUCAACCGCACGAAACAGAGCAAUAACAGGUCUGUGAUGCCCUUAGAUGUCCGGGGCCGCACGCGCGCUACACUGAAGUGAUCAGCGUGCUUUUUCAACCUACUCUGUCAAGAGUGGGGAACCCAAUGAACCUUCUUCGUGAUUGGGAUAGGGGAUUGUAAUUAUUCCCCUUGAACGAGGAAUUCCCAGUAAGCGCGAGUUAUAAGCUCGCGUUGAUUACGUCCCUGCCCUUUGUACACACCGCCCGUCGCUACUACCGAUUGAAUGUUUU